GGGGGCGUAGCUCAGCUGGGAGAGCACCUGCUUUGCAAGCAGGGGGUCGUCGGUUCGAUCCCGUCCGCCUCCA
rfam:Gluconacetobacter sp. SXCC-1 Contig2923, whole genome shotgun sequence.